ACCCUGAUGACCUUAGUGUCA
rnacentral:miRNA from 1 species